UACGUAGGGUGCAAGCGUUAAUCGGAAUUACUGGGCGUAAAGCGUGCGCAGGCGGUUAUGUAAGACAGUUGUGAAAUCCCCGGGCUCAACCUGGGAACUGCAUCUGUGACUGCAUAGCUAGAGUACGGUAGAGGGGGAUGGAAUUCCGCGUGUAGCAGUGAAAUGCGUAGAUAUGCGGAGGAACACCGAUGGCGAAAGGCAAUCCCCCUGGACCUGUACUGACGCUCAUGCACGAAAAGCGUGGGGGAGCAAACAGG
rnacentral:rRNA from 1 species